rnacentral:lncRNA from 1 species
UUCUCUCUCCUCUCUCUACCUUCUCUCUAUAUUUUCUCUCUCUAAAUUCUCUCUCUAGACCUUUUUUCUCUCUUUAUGAAUUUUUCUCUCUAGGAUCUUUCUCUUUCUCUCUCUAACUGCAUCACAGAUCCUAGAAUAAACUUGAGAUGAAAAUAAGAUAAUCUGAGAUUGCUCCAAAACUCGUGUAGUAGAUCUUAUCUCAGUCCGAUCCUAUUUGAAAUUUAUAAUAUUUGAUUCAUAUUAAGUCAUCCUGAUAGAA